AUUCUGCCCAUACGGGGAAGGAUGAGAAGCUUCGAUUAAGGUUCGAUUCGAGCGCAGCGAGAAAGCGUUGCCGCUGGCAACGACCCGAAGGGCGAGGCGCAACGCGCCGAGUAAUCCUUCUCCCAACACGA
rnacentral:sRNA from 1 species